GAGGACACAGCUCAGUGGUAGAGUGCCUGUUUAGCAUGCACCAGGUCCUGGGUUCAAUUCCCAGUACCUCCG
rnacentral:tRNA from 1 species